AUGGCGAAGAAGAAGGAGGAGAAAGAGAAGGAGCCGCUGAAGAGAAGGGGGAAACGGAAAACUGCAAGAGCUGCUUUCUACUGUAUGAACGAGAAGGAGCUGGUAGAAGCUGCUGUUUCAUAUCUUACCAGCGGUGCAAGCGAGGACGUGGUUCUCCUGACUCACCAAAAGGUGGCGCUCUUUCCCUUUGUUAACGGUUGAAAUGGUUUUUAUACUGGAAAAAUAAAAUCAGCAUCAGAA